rnacentral:rRNA from 1 species
CCUACGGGAGCAGCAGUGGGGAAUUUUGGACAAUGGGCGCAAGCCUGAUCCAGCAAUGCCGCGUGAGUGAAGAAGGCCUUCGGGUUGUAAAGCUCUUUUGUCAGGGAAGAAACGGUUGAGGCUAAUAUCCUCGGCUAAUGACGGUACCUGAAGAAUAAGCACCGGCUAACUACGUGCCAGCAGCCGCGGUAAUACGUAGGGUGCAAGCGUUAAUCGGAAUUACUGGGCGUAAAGCGUGCGCAGGCGGUUUUGUAAGUCUGUCGUGAAAGCCCCGGGCUUAACCCGGGAAUUGCGAUGGAAACUGCAAGGCUUGAAUCUGGCAGAGGGGGGUAGAAUUCCACGUGUAGCAGUGAAAUGCGUAGAGAUGUGGAGGAACACCGAUGGCGAAGGCAGCCCCCUGGGUCAAGAUUGACGCUCAUGCACGAAAGCGUGGGGAGCAAACAGGAUUAGAUACCCUGGUAGUCCACGCCCUAAACGAUGUCUACUAGUUGUCGGGUCUUAAUUGACUUGGUUAACGCAGCUAACGCGUGAAGUAGACCCGCCUGGGGAGGACGGUCGCGAGAAGUAAACUUAAAAUUAAGUAAGUAGUAGCGNGAGAGAGACGACGACGACGACGAGGAGGAGGAGG